rnacentral:tRNA from 2 species
CAAUUAGCUCAGUCGGUAGAGCACUCGGCUGUUAACCGAUAGGUCGUAGGUUCGAGUCCUACAUUGGC